rnacentral:sRNA from 1 species
GUCCCCUCUGGAAGUGAAACUGCUGGCUUUUGCAGCCUUCACCCUGUACCAGGUGAGCUAUGUAAAGGGGCAUUCGAACAGUCCCAGACAAUGAAGCUGCUAUCUCCUACUUUCUUAGCUAACAUAGCAGCUCUUCAUAAAUCAGUAAUUCUCACUUUGUUUGCCUUUGAUUCAUUUCCAGAUUUCCACCAAAAUGAUUGUUUUUGAAAAUGUUGUUCAGUUUUAUAGUAGCUUUUUGAGAGAGGAUUUUCUGACUGUAUCAGUGUAGUAUAACUAGAAAUCCCAUAUUUCAAAUCUUUUGAAAAUUUUUAACCAUUUAGUAUUAAUGUUGAAAUGUCUUAAAUUUGGUAUAUAAUGUCAAGAUACUCAGUGAUACUUAUUUAGGAUUUUAAUUUCUUAAUCUCAGCAAUAUAAAAAUAUUAUGCUCUUAAUAUUAAUUAUAAUGUUUAUUCUUAAACAUUUUAUUUAGGAAAUUAUGAUGUGAUGACCCCAAUGGUUGAUAUACUUAUGAAACUUUUUCGAAAUAUGGUGAAUGUGAAGAUGCCAUUUCACCUUACCCUUCUAAGUGUAUGCUUCUGCAACCUUAAAGCACUAAAUACUGCUAAGAAAGGGCUUAUUGAUUAUUAUUUAACACCAUCAUUAUCAACAACUUCAUGCUCUGGCAAGCACAGUUUUAAAAUGAAAGACACUCAUAUGGAAGAUUUUCCCAAAGACAAAGAAACAAACCGGGAUUUUCUACCAAGUGGAAGAAUUGAAAGUACAAGAACUAGGGAGUCUCCACUAGAUACCACAAAUUUUUCUAA